rnacentral:lncRNA from 1 species
AUGCGUAUUAAUCCACCACCAUAUGCACCGCCACCACCCACUUCUGCAGCCACAGCUGCAGCACCACCCAUUAAACACUCACCCAUAUCAGGAAUAACUAGGUCACACACACAUCAUCAUCCUUAUGCAAAAGCACAGACAAUGCUAAACGAACUUUCACUCAAAAAUAACGCACAAGAAGAGAUAGGUCGUGAUCCCACUGGGACCGACAUCUGGGGAGACACAGUCGACCCGCCAGCCACUGGUAUCUUCCCAAUGGUAGCAGUGGCUAACCCCAGAUUUGGCCUAAUAAUAGGGCCAGAAGGACAAGAAGAGCAAGAUGACCGCCCAAACAUACAUAUUUUUCGUCCGUGGUCACAAAAAGACAGACAAAAUGUCCUGAAAGACGUUCCUCCACUGAAUGAAGGUUUUAUACCAUGGAGGGAUGCUGUAGAACUGAUCAGAAGGCAAUGGUAUUUAAACGGCCAUGAAAUGCUUCAAGUAGUGCAAGAUUUAUUAGGAUUAAAAAUAGGAACAGUUAGAGGAGAUUAUACCGUCUCAAACGCCGGGGGUGUAGAAUACGCACCAGGAAGCACCGACCUAAUCAAUGCCCUAACAAAUUUAUAUGAGAGAAUUAGAGUACGGUUGGCCCCAAGGGCUGACUAUGGAAAAAUAGGAGAGGUGAAACAAAAAGAAGCCGAAACAGCUUCUGAUUUUCUGGACCGCCUGCGUCCAGUUUUUAGACAACAUUCAGGAUUAAAUUAUGAAGAGGGUCCAGAGACCCCAUAUCAACAACAACUUAAGAAUGCCUUUUUAAAUGGCCUCCUACCACCAGUGAAAUCACAUGUAGAAAAACACUGGGUGACUAUGAACACAGGAUCACUGCCCGACGCACUGCAAUAUGCAGAACAUGCCGUCCGUGUUAUAAAAAAGAAAAAUGAGAAUGUAGGCACUUUCACAGUAGAUCCAGAGACAGGAUUUAUUGCAUUUUCGGGAGGACAGUUGCAAGGGCGUAGGAGAGGAAAUAGAGGAAGAGGCAGAGGAGGUUACAGAGGCAGAGGAAAUAACCGAUCAGAACGUUUCGACAGGGAAAGAGACAACACCUGUUGGCAAUGCGGAAAGGAAGGACACUUUUCUAGACACUGUAGAUCAGGAAAGAAAAGAGAAGGAAGGAAUGAAGAUUGA